AAAAAAAAGAAAGAAAAAAAAAAAAGAACAAUGGGACUCGAGGAUGAACGUUCUCCGGACGCGUAAGUUCCGGAUUUUGUCGAGUGACGAUGAUGAACUGUGGCUCGAGGGAAGAAGUCGCGUACAGGGGGACGAAUCGGGGUGGGUGGAUGAUGGAUGAAUGUGUUGGAUGAACGCUGCUUAUUCGAAUUUUUGGAUGAAUAAAUUUCGUAGAUGUAUUCACAGCGUGUCUCUGCAAUGAUCGAAGAGUAUGUUAUGAAAGAGAGUAUAGGUGUAAUAAUUUUUUUUUUUUUUGUGUUUUUGAUAAUUAAUAAUAUUUUUCAACUUUAUAAAUAUGAUGACGCGAGAACAAUGAAAUAUACGUUUUGAUAUUCUUUGUAAUACUUUCUUUUUUUUGUGUCCAGUUUUUAGUCCAAAAAGAGACAAUGAAAUUCGAAACAUCCAGCGUUCUAAUCACGCGAAAAAUAGAUAUUGAAACGUAUGCAUAUGUACACGAGUCGGUAUUAGGAAUUAAAUUCGCCCUCUGUAAUCCCAUAUUCGGCGAGAUGCCGAUAGUCGCUUUGCGUCAUAAUUUCCAUAUCAUAAGAACAAUGCUUUCUCAAUCCUCCCAAUUCACUUUUGUAAUUUACGCGCGCACGGCGU